rnacentral:rRNA from 1 species
GACGAACGCUGGCGGCGUGCUUAACACAUGCAAGUCGAACGCUGAAGCUUGGUGCUUGCACUGGGUGGAUGAGUGGCGAACGGGUGAGUAAUACGUGAGUAACCUGCCCUUGACUCUGGGAUAAGCCUGGGAAACUGGGUCUAAUACUGGAUACGACAUGUCACCGCAUGGUGGUGUGUGGAAAGGGUUUUACUGGUUUUGGAUGGGCUCACGGCCUAUCAGCUUGUUGGUGGGGUAAUGGCUCACCAAGGCGACGACGGGUAGCCGGCCUGAGAGGGUGACCGGCCACACUGGGACUGAGACACGGCCCAGACCCCUACGGGAGGCAGCAGUGGGGAAUAUUGCACAAUGGGCGGAAGCCUGAUGCAGCGACGCCGCGUGAGGGAUGACGGCCUUCGGGUUGUAAACCUCUUUCAGCACGGAAGAAGCGAAAGUGACGGUACGUGCAGAAGAAGCGCCGGCUAACUACGUG